UGGAAGUUAUAGAUAUUCUAAAUUUUACUUCUGCCAGCCAGAUCAUAUACUAGAUGAUGCCAGCUCCGCUGAAAAGAAAAUUGGUAAGGCUAGAGCUCAGAAAGGGUCGUAUCUGUUCAGGUCUCUUCUUACAGGAGGUGCAAAAUUAGCUUUUGGUUCUGACUGGCCAGUUGCUGACAUUGAUCCACUGCGAAGUAUCAAAACAGCAAUAACCCGAAUCCCCCCUGGACAGGAAACUGCAUGGAUUCCCAGUGAGCGUGUUGAACUGGAUGAUGCUCUAAAUGCGUACACCAUUGGAGCUGCUUACGCCUGCUUUCUCGACAACGAAUUAGGUAGCCUCUCACCAGGAAAGUAUGCUGACUUCAUAGUAUUACCAUCUUCUUCAUGGGAAGAAUUCAAGAAAAAUAUACCUUCCAGUGUUUCGGCCACUUAUGUUAGUGGCCUGCAGGCCUACCCAUGAAGCUUUCCAAUCUGUUUGAUGAUGCGUUUCAUUUCAUACAAUGCUUUGUUGCUUUCCUGCUACUGGACUCAGCUUUUCAUUCGAUUUUCUACCAACUCUUGAUGCUCAUGAACUAGCAGAAUUUGACUCUCUCGGAAUGUUCUAGAGGCAGGAUUUGAUUGGGUCAAAUGGAGGCCUGGCUCUAUGAUUUUUUGGCUUCAACACAAUUCUGUCCUCUCCUCAUGAACUGUUGCAUUUUUUUAUUGUUGUUAGACAAAACACUUGUAGUUUUAUAAACCAUGGUAUUGAACAAUAAACCAAAUGUAUUAGCAUGAAAGCAUGUCAAAUAUCAUAGAAUGUGGUGGUUUAAUAUUUAUAUUUGGAUUAUCUGGGACA